GUUUAUGUUUUAGGUUUUCCUCUCCCAAUUUCACUUUCCCAUUUCCUCAAAAUAUGAUGCAUUGUGCUUUCCUCCUUCAACAGCUUCUAUAGUGCCCUCACGCUUCAGUCCAGCCCGCGUUUGAAGUCUGGUGACCUUCAUUUUGAGCAACCUUGUCAUAUUUCAUACCUUCGUCGCAAAGGCUUCUCUCGCACGUGUAUCAAUUUUAUGAGGCUGGAAAUUCAUUUUCAUGUUCUGAAAUGCUUAUGAGUAAUCCCCCAGAAGACAAAGAACCCUUCUAGCAGCGAUUUAAGAAUUGUUUUCAUUGGAAUUCAAAUUGCCUAGGAGUUUAUUUGAGCAGCAGCAGAUUCUUAGUGGAAAGCUUGUACAGCCAAGAGAAAGGGAAGUUCUUAUUGCCCUAUAUCCUCUUUUGCAAUCUGUUUUAACUAAGUGAAUACUCAGCAGUUUUGUGCAUGUGUGAUUGUAGGAUGGGCAUGGCAAGAAGAUUCAAGACAAUUGAUUCCAGAAGCAACAAAGUUGAACCAAGACUAAGAUGUCAAGAAGCCAGAUUGGGCACAUGGUUUUCCUGCAGGGUGAACAGGACCGUAGCAUAGGAUUGUUACUUUUGUAAUUGUUUUUGUUCAAUUUGUUUGUAAUAGGCUUGUGUUAGCCUAAUGUUAGCUUUAGCUUUGUUUUGUAAAAGGCCUUUAUAAAGUCCAAGUGCUUUGGAAGAGUCCUUGGUGCUCUUUCAAACUCUUGGCAACUUUACUUGCUUUAAUUUUAGCAUAGCUAGACAGGUGAGUGUGUCUUGUUAGCCAAAGCUACAAGCCUCACCAUAGGAGUAGACUUUAAUAUUGAUUGUUUGAUUUGUGUUUCACGUUUAGGGGUGAUUUAGGCUAAAAGGGAUUAAACUCUAAGCCUUAUCACAUUAGAGUCCGAGAGUCUAGUCUUUUAAUUGUGCUUAAUUGUUUGUGAUUGUUUGAGUUGUGUACUUUGUUUCUAAAGGUGAUUUUCCCUUCGUUCAUUUCAUUGUUCCACCGAUUAAAUCAGUAGUUCUUCGUCCUCCUAGGGUUUCUCACCGAACAAACCAUCUUCAUUUUCCAUACCUUCAACUUCCACCGAUUAGACCUUAGAUCCUAGGUUUUCAUGUGUUCGCUAUCAGUUUCCACUUCAAUCUUGAGUUUCGUUUCCAUUCCGCUGCGUCUUCAUCUCUCUGGAGGAAGUUUCGAGGAGUCAGCAUCACGUCUUCGGUCUCUCCUCGGGCGUUCGUCCAUCAGCAACGAAGAGGGAGAAGCGGACUAUGCAUACCGAAAAAAAAACACGCUAUUACCUCGGUUAUCUAAGAACCGAGGCAUAAUCUGAUCUCAUUUUAACCCGGUUUAGAAUCGAGGCAUAAAGUCACCCCCUUUUUACCUCGUCCGUAUAUGCCUCGGUUGUAGAACUGGUGCCUAUAAGCAAAAUUAAUUGAUACUAUUUCCCCUUACUGCACUAGUGACUACAAGCUCAUGACGAAGCUUAUGAUUAUCUCAAAUAGCGAUUUGAGAAUCUCCAAAAUUUUCUUAUGAAGUUUUUGCCUCCGUUCUUGCCUCAAGACGCACAACCUAUGGUCUAACAACCUUAGUCCACCCCAACAUCGUUCCAGCAAUGACGCCCUUGCCCCCCUACAACCCACCCUAGUCCAGUCACCUCCCCAACAACAACACGAUGAAGAAGAAGAAGGAAAUAACUCUGAUGAUGAUUAUGACAAUUAUUAGAUACUUAGUUUAUUUACAUAUUAUAGGACUUAAAAACAGUUCUACAUUUGUAUUAUUGACAUUGUA